rnacentral:tRNA from 1 species
AGGAUAAUAGUUAAAUUUAUAACAUUUAAUUUGCAUUUAAAAAUUAUUGACUUCAAUUUAUCUUU